AUCCCCAUCUUCACUUUGCCACCCGGAGCCUCUCUGUCCUCGGUGGUCAUUCACGUGGGGGACAUUAGCUCAUCCUCGCGCGCCCCAGUCCAAACCCGCUGUUUGGGCUUUCGGGUUGUUUUGAGGAAACAUUA
rnacentral:snoRNA from 1 species